GGAUUAGAUACCCUGGUAGUCCACGCUGUAAACGAUGAUUACUCGUUGUCGGCGAUACACAGUCGGUGGCUAAGCGAAAGUGAUAAGUAAUCCACCUGGGGAGUACGAUCGCAAGGUUGAAACUCAAAGGAAUUGACGGGGGCCCGCACAAGCGGAGGAGCAUGUGGUUUAAUUCGAUGAUACGCGAGGAACCUUACCUGGGCUUAAAUGUAGAGUGCAUGAGUGGGAAACCAUUCUUUCCUUCGGGACUCUUUACAAGGUGCUGCAUGGUUGUCGUCAGCUCGUGCCG
rnacentral:rRNA from 1 species